rfam:Cavia porcellus supercont2_34 genomic scaffold, whole genome shotgun sequence.
UGGGAUUUAGCUAAGCGGCAUAAGCACCUGCCUUCCAAGCAGGCAGUCGUGAGUUCUAACCCUGCUACCAA